rnacentral:rRNA from 1 species
AGCUCCAAUAGCGUAUAUUUAUGUUGCUGCGGUUAAAAAGCUCGUAGUCGGAUUUCGGGUGGCGCCUACCGGUCCGCCUUCGGUGAGUACUGGUAGGUGCCACCUUUCUGCCGAGGACGGGUUCCUGGACUUAACCGUCUGGGACCCGGAGUCGGCGAUGUCACUUUGAGUAAAUUAGGGUGUUUAAAGCAGGCUUAUGCUCUGAAUACACUAGCAUGGGAUGACACGAUAGGACUUCGGUCUAUCUUGUCGGUCUGUAGAUCGGAGUAAUGAUUAAGAGGGACAGUCGGGGGCAUUCGUAUUUCGUAGUCAGAGGUGAAAUUCUUGGAUUUACGGAAGACGAACUUCUGCGAAAGCAUUUGCCAAGGAUGUUUUCA